AGCGAACGCUGGCGGCAGGCUUAACACAUGCAAGUCGAGCGGGCACCUUUCGGGGUGUCCGCGGCGGACGGGUGAGUAACGCGUGGGAACGUGCCCUCUGGUUCGGAAUAACUCAGGGAAACUUGAGCUAAUACCGGAUACGUCCUUUUGGGGAAAGGCUUGCUGCCGGAGGAUCGGCCCGCGUCUGAUUAGCUAGUUGGUGAGGUAACGGCUCACCAAGGCGACGAUCAGUAGCUGGUCUGAGAGGAUGAUCAGCCACACUGGGACUGAGACACGGCCCAGACUCCUACGGGAGGCAGCAGUGGGGAAUAUUGGACAAUGGGCGCAAGCCUGAUCCAGCCAUGCCGCGUGAGUGAUGAAGGCCUUAGGGUUGUAAAGCUCUUUUAUCCGGGACGAUAAUGACGGUACCGGAGGAAUAAGCCCCGGCUAACUUCGUG
rnacentral:rRNA from 1 species